rnacentral:lncRNA from 1 species
AAUGCCAGAUGCCUCUAGUGAGCCACCUUGAAUCACUAUUCUGAAUACAUCUUGAGUAAAAAGAGAAAAUUGCUCAUGUUUCCAUGUCUAUCUGAAUCAUGUUAUUGGACCAUGAGAGCAAGCAGCUGGAUCUCAUUCUGUCCAGGACUCCUGGAAACAGCAGCUCUAACAAAAUUGUCUUCAAUAAAUAAGUUUUUUUGCAUCACAUUUGUGUAUGUCCUGAAUGUUCU